rnacentral:rRNA from 1 species
AACGUAGGAGAUGAGCGUUAUCCGGAUUUACUGGGCGUAAAGAGUGUGUAGGCGGUGCUCCCAGUCUGUUGUGAAAUCUCCCGGCUUAACUGGGAGGGUGCAGCGGAAACUAGAGUGCUAGAGGGUGGGAGAGGUAAGCGGAAUUCCUGGUGUAGCGGUGAAAUGCGUAGAUAUCAGGAGGAACACCUGUGGUGUAGACAGCUUACUGGACCACUUCUGACGCUGAGACACGAAAGCGUGGGUAGCAAACAGG